GCCCGGGUGGCGGAAUGGGCAUACGCAGCGGACUUAAAAUCCGCGGGCCGAGAGGCCAUGCGAGUUCGAAUCUCGCCCCGGGCA
rnacentral:tRNA from 1 species